rnacentral:rRNA from 1 species
AUACCGGCGGCUCGAGUGGUGGCCACUAUUACUGGGCUUAAAGCGUCCGUAGCUUGGUUGUUAAGUCUCCUGGGAAAUCCAUCGGCUCAACCGAUGGGCGUUCAGGAGAUACUGGCAACCUAGGGACCGGGAGAGGUGAGAGGUACUCCAGGGGUAGGAGUGAAAUCCUGUAAUCCUUGGGGGACCACCUGUGGCGAAGGCGUCUCACUAGAACGGCUCCGACAGUGAGGGACGAAAGCUGGGGGAGC